GUCUUUUUGUUUUAAAUAUAAAGUAUAACCUGCCCAUUGAGAUUUUUAAAAGGCUGCGGUAUUUUGACCGUACAAAGGUAGCAUAAUCGUUAGUUUUUUAAUUGAGAACUUGUAUGAAUGGUUGGAUGAGAAAUAGACUUUUUUAAUAUAAAAAUUGAAUUUUACAUUUUAAUUAAAAGGUUAAAAUAUUUUUAAAAGACGAGAAGACCCUAUAGAGUUUUAUAAUUUAUAUUUAAUGUAAAAAAAAAUUAAUAGAUAUUUUUAUUUAAAUAAUUAUUUUGUUGGGGUGACGAUAAAAUUUAAUUAACUUUUAUUUUUUUAUACAUUAAUAUAUGGGGGAUUGAUCCACUAUUGGUGAUUAAAAAUUUAAAUUACCUUAGGGAUAACAGCGUAAUUUUUUUUUUAAGCUCAUAUUAAUAAAAAAUUUUGCGACCUCGAUGUUGGAUUAAGAUUUAAUUUUAGGUGCAGAAGUUUAAAAUUUAAGUCUGUUCGACUUUUAAAUUCUU
rnacentral:rRNA from 1 species